rnacentral:rRNA from 1 species
GUGUCAGCAGCCGCGGUAAUACGGAGAACUCAAGCGUUACCCGGAAUCACUGGGCGUAAAGCGUUGCGUAGGCGGUUUGUUAAGUGAGAUAUGAAAUGUUACGGCUCAACCGUGAAAGUGUAUCUCAAACUAACAAACUAGAGGAUGGUAGAGGUCAGUGGAAUUGCUGGUGUAGGAGUGAAAUCCGUAGAUAUCAGCAGGAACACCAAUGGCGUAGGCAGCUGACUGGACCAUUCCUGACGCUCAGGCACGAAAGCGUGGGGAGCGAACGGGAUUAGAAACCCCCGUAGUCC